ACCACAACUAGCCCCAACCAACUCCAACAAACUACCAAUUUUCAAUAAACUAAAACAUUUACCUAAACCAGUAUAAGUAUAGGAGAUAGAAAAUAUAUAAAGGCGCUAUAGAAGCAGUACCGUAAGGGAAAGAUGAAAGAACCCACAAAAGUAAAAAAAAGCAAAGAUUAAAACUUUUACCUUUUGCAUAAUGAUUUAACUAGAAAAAUUUUACAAAGAGAACUACAGCUAAAAACCCCGAAACCAGACGAGCUACCUACGGGCAGUAAAUGAACAAACUCUUCUAUGUAGCAAAAUAGUGAGAAGACCUAUAGGUAGAGGUGAAAAGCCUACCGAGCCUGGUGAUAGCUGGUUGUCCAGAACAGAAUAUAAGUUCAGCCUUAAACUUGUCUAAAGAACUGAUAAUCCUAACACAAGUUUAACUGCUAGUUCAAAGAGGUACAGCCCAUUGAACAAAGGAUACAACCUUUUAUAGAGAGUAAUAAAUUACCCACCCAUAGUUGGCCUAAAAGCAGCCACCAAUUAAGAAAGCGUUAAAGCUCAACACUCAACACAACCCACAAAUACCAAAACUUAUAAUCACCUCCUAAUAAAAACACUGGACUAAUCUAUUAUUAAAUAGAUGAAAUAAUGUUAAUAUGAGUAACAAGAAUUACAUUCUCCCCGCACGGACCUAUAUCAGAUCGGAUGCCCACUGAUAAUUAACCAACAGGUAUUUCAACCCACAAAAAAUUACUGAUACCAAAUAGUCUGUUAACCCAACACAGGCGUGCGCAAUAAGGGAAAGAUUAAAAUAAGUAAAAGGAACUCGGCAAAAACAAACCCCGCCUGUUUACCAAAAACAUCACCUCUAGCAUCAAAAGUAUUAGAGGCACUGCCUGCCCAGUGACUAGCGUUUAACGGCCGCGGUAUCCUGACCGUGCAAAGGUAGCAUAAUCACUUGUUCCUUAAUUGAGGACUUGAAUGAACGGCCACACGAGGGUUUAACUGUCUCUUACUUACAAUCAGUGAAAUUGACCUCUUCGUGAAGAGGCGAAGAUAAACAAAUAAGACGAGAAGACCCUAUGGAGCUUAAAUUUAACACUCACAUUACAUACCAAAUCCCACAACAGGGUUACAACACACCUAAUUUAUGAGUGAACAAUUUUGGUUGGGGUGACCUCGGAGCAUAAAACAACCUCCGAAUAUUUUAAGCAUAGACACAACCAGUCAAAGCAAGAUACAUAACACGUAUCAUAUAAUCAUUGACCCAAAAAUUUGAUCAACGGAACAAGUUACCCUAGGGAUAACAGCGCAAUCCUGUUCAAGAGUCCAUAUCGACAACAGGGUUUACGACCUCGAUGUUGGAUCAGGACAUCCCAAUGGUGUAACCGCUAUUAAUGGUUCGUUUGUUCAACGAUUAAAGUCCUACGUGAUCUGAGUUCAGACCGGAGAAAUCCAGGUCGGUUUCUAUCUAUUAACAUUUCUCCCAGUACGAAAGGACAAGAGAAAUAGAGCCAACUAAACAAUAGAGCUCUCAACCCAAUAGAUGAUAUAAUCUAAAUCUAGUACACUUCAACAAUCACCCUGCCCGAGAACAGGGUUA
rnacentral:rRNA from 1 species